CAGGGGGGGGGGUGCCUAUACAUGCAAGUCGAACGCUUUGUGGUUCAACUGAUUUGAAGAGCUUGCUCAGAUAUGACGAUGGACAUUGCAAAGAGUGGCGAACGGGUGAGUAACACGUGGGAAACCUACCUCUUAGCAGGGGAUAACAUUUGGAAACAGAUGCUAAUACCGUAUAACAAUGACAACCGCAUGGUUGUUAUUUAAAAGAUGGUUCUGCUAUCACUAAGAGAUGGUCCCGCGGUGCAUUAGCUAGUUGGUAAGGUAAUGGCUUACCAAGGCGAUGAUGCAUAGCCGAGUUGAGAGACUGAUCGGCCACAAUGGGACUGAGACACGGCCCAUACUCCUACGGGAGGCAGCAGUAGGGAAUCUUCCACAAUGGGCGAAAGCCUGAUGGAGCAACGCCGCGUGUGUGAUGAAGGGUUUCGGCUCGUAAAACACUGUUGUAAGAGAAGAAUGACAUUGAGAGUAACUGUUCAAUGUGUGACGGUAUCUUACCAGAAAGGAACGGCUAAAUACGUGCCAGCAGCCGCGGUAAUACGUAUGUUCCAAGCGUUAUCCGGAUUUAUUGGGCGUAAAGCGAGCGCAGACGGUUAUUUAAGUCUGAAGUGAAAGCCCUCAGCUCAACUGAGGAAUUGCUUUGGAAACUGGAUGACUUGAGUGCAGUAGAGGAAAGUGGAACUCCAUGUGUAGCGGUGAAAUGCGUAGAUAUAUGGAAGAACACCAGUGGCGAAGGCGGCUUUCUGGACUGUAACUGACGUUGAGGCUCGAAAGUGUGGGUAGCAAACAGGAUUAGAUACCCUGGUAGUCCACACCGUAAACGAUGAGUGCUAGGUGUUUGAGGGUUUCCGCCCUUAAGUGCCGCAGCUAACGCAUUAAGCACUCCGCCUGGGGAGUACGACCGCAAGGUUGAAACUCAAAGGAAUUGACGGGGACCCGCACAAGCGGUGGAGCAUGUGGUUUAAUUCGAAGCAACGCGAAGAACCUUACCAGGUCUUGACAUCCCUUGACAACUCCAGAGAUGGAGCGUUCCCUUCGGGGACAAGGUGACAGGUGGUGCAUGGUUGUCGUCAGCUCGUGUCGUGAGAUGUUGGGUUAAGUCCCGCAACGAGCGCAACCCUUAUUACUAGUUGCCAGCAUUCAGUUGGGCACUCUAGUGAGACUGCCGGUGACAAACCGGAGGAAGGUGGGGAUGACGUCAAAUCAUCAUGCCCCUUAUGACCUGGGCUACACACGUGCUACAAUGGCGUAUACAACGAGUUGCCAACCCGCGAGGGUGAGCUAAUCUCUUAAAGUACGUCUCAGUUCGGAUUGUAGGCUGCAACUCGCCUACAUGAAGUCGGAAUCGCUAGUAAUCGCGGAUCAGCACGCCGCGGUGAAUACGUUCCCGGGUCUUGUACACACCGCCCGUCACACCAUGAGAGUUUGUAACACCCAAAGCCGGUGGGGUAACCUUCGGGAGCCAGCCGUUCUAAAGGGGGACACGAG
rnacentral:rRNA from 1 species